CUUGUGAUAUUUAACAAAUAUAAAACGUUUUCCGUGUUGAUAUACAGUUAUAUCAACACGAGUGGAAUUGGGAAAACGAGAAAUUGUGUGGAAACACGACGCCCGAAGGGCGGAGUGUUUUCAUACAAUUUCGAGUUUUCCAAACUUCCACGAGUGUUGAUAUAACUAUAUAUCAAUACGGAAAAAAUGUUUUAUAUUUUUUUUAUAAUAUAGCCCGAAGGAUAAGAAAAAUUUCCGUGUUUACAAGCGGCGGAAAAUUUCCCGUGUUGACAUUGAGUUAUAUCAACACGGCUCUUAGCCAAUCAGCGUUCAGAAUUUACAAAUGCUAUAUUAUAAAUAAAUAUAGAAACUGCGACAACUUGAGAAUAAGAUGAGAUAUGAAGAAACUGUAAAGGUCAUUCUUCAUCAUUCCAGCAAUACUUUUUAGAAAAACAAUAAAAAAUGAGGUAAAAAUUUCGUUCCAUAAGCACUUUAAUUUAAAAUAUCUUCAAAAUAUAGAGCACGGGGUUUACAGAUUAAUACCUUUGUGUGCAUGGGAUUGCAAUUGUGAGGGUGGGCCAUAUGAUGACGGAUUUGGUAUUCUAUUUUUUACCCUGCCAUGUUUGUCAGGCCCUGACACCCUGACACCUCUAAUUAGGGCCUGAAUUUCAGGUUAUGACCCCUUAUGACCUUCGGCAAUAUCACAUGCAAUAUGGCGUCGAUGCAACGCGAUAAAAAAAGUUAAAAAUUGAUCCAAAUGCGCUUUGUUCACAUGUCAGCGAUUCGCUUUAUGAAGCAAAUUGUUUAAAAAACAAAAUUGCUGAAAUCUCGUCCAUAAAUGUGGGAAUGACAGCUGACAGUCAGUUGGUUGAAGUCUUUUUGAUUUGCCGGUUUGGGCUUUUAUAUAAAAUAGUACAGGAGGUGGUCUCUAUGCUAUCGUCUGCGAGGUUUUUGCCUGAAAGCGUGGUUAUUUCGAAGGUCGCUCGCAUUCUCGGGAUAUGUGAACCAGGUGUCAAGAAUGUAAUUCAUUUGUUUGAAAAAGCAGAGAGUUUUAACGGCAGUAUUAAUACCAGUAAAAACGAAGAAUUAAAUGUCAUCUUAACACCGUAAACUUCAAUCUGCUUCGAAUGUCAACGUACAGCAGUUAGUUGUAAACCAUGCCCCAACAGAAGCUCGGAUUUACACUCUGAAAGGUUUUGUUAACGGAGAAAAAUGGUCCCUUCGCUGUAAUGGAUGCAAGUCUACAUACAAUUACAGCAAGUAUGGUUCACGCAAUGGCUGGAAAAUGUACCCAAAUCACUAUAAAAUCAGAGAACUCUAGUCGAAUCGUCAGAUUGUUGUUUUUUGGAGCGUGACGUUUUCAAUUGGAUGACUUCGUUGAGGUAAGUUCAUUAUUUAUUGCUGCCGAAGGCAGCGUUUAUACUCACAGUAGGAAAAACUUCACUAACAUCUCAUGUAUGGCCGGAUCGUGGAUUGAUUCAAAAUUCAGGCGAUAAAGUUACAAAACUAGGAGUUGGCUUUUAUAUGCUCUUCGAAUAAUUCCGUUUUCAUUCGUGUAUUAACCACAACUUGUUGGUCUCAUGGGUGCCAAAAUCGACAUAUACGUAAACCGGUAACCAUAAACAUGCUACUGCGUGAUAGUGAUUUCGAAGGAACUUUGUCACAUAUAUUUUAAAAAGUGGGAUAAAUAUAAAUGAAUCAAAAUUUGUUUUUGCAACCCCAAAUAGGUUAUCAUGACAGCAGCAAAAACCCCAUCAUGACAGCAGCAAAAAUUGCACCUGAAAUAGCAGCAAAAUUGCAAGCGUAAACGGGCCUUAAGCCAAGGUUUACAGUUUAAGGUUUGCAAAGGACAACAUUUAUUGCAUUGGCUCAUGUAUACAUACAUACACAUGGUUCAGUUCAAAUUACAAUACAGUUCAGUACAGUACAAUACUGUUCAAUCUUUAUUAGCAUAUAUUAAAUGGUGUUGCCAUACAAACAUAAUAUUUAUAUGCUAGACUGUCUAGACAGCAUAUGUUCAAUAAAAAUAAACAAUAAAAAUAUCAAUAUAGUACAAGUAUGCGACUAUAAAAAUAUAUAAUUGAAUUACAGACUAGCAUGUACUUUUAAGCUGCUAAAUUGCUAAUAUAUUUCUGAGCAUAUAGUAUAUGCUAUUAGAUAAGCAGGUAUAAAAGGUUGUUGGUACCCUGGCUUCGCCUAACAGAAAGGAUGUAAUCAAAUCCUGAUUGAGUAUAAAGUGGUGUCGGAGGCUGGGGGGGGGGGGCACUUUUUUAGUUGGGUGGCCAUUUUGUCUUUGGAGUUUCGACCCCUUAAUUUUUAACAAUGGUCAAUAAUAAACCUCAAAGUUAAUUGAUUUUAUUUCAGUUAUGCGUGUAGACAAAACAAUUUGAGAUAUUUUAUGACGUUUUGUAACCUUUAGAACUCUGUAAAUCUCCUUAAAUAUCCUUCUAAAGUACAGGAAAUGGCAUUUCAGUGACUCUAGUUUUAAUAUUUCAGAGACUCUAGUUUUAAAAUGUUUAUGUCGCCCGCCUUUGGCAGGCGCUAAGCCCCCCCCCCCCACUUUUAGACCUGCUCCGACACCCCUGUGAGUAUAUAUUGAUCAGUAUUGGUAUUAUUUUAAGCUGAAGACUGACCUCAUAUGCUAAUAUUUUUAUCCAAGUGUAAAUAAGUAUAGGUUAUUUUGAAGCAACAAGGGGAUAUGUGAUUUAUUUACCGAGGCAUGCAGUGCCUCUGCCAUCCAGAGGGGGAGGAGAGAAAAAAUUUCUGCCGUCCAGAGGGGGAGGGGAGAAAAAAUUGUUUCUGACAAUAGUAAAUGUAUGAGGACAUCCGAAGGGGGUAGGAUAGCCUGCGAACAGGCUCUCAAGCUGAAUUGAGAGUCUGCAUCGAUGACUAAUGAAUUUGAAUAUCUGCGUCUCAAAUCGUGACGCGAAAUUCUCAUUGGUCAGAUGCUAUAAUUUAUAUUAUUCCGCUGAGCUCUAUAUAUGUCAACUGCUAGCACUAUGCAUAAAAAAACACAUUAAUUAACUGAUCAAAUUGGUCUUGGCCAUUUUAUCUCAAAGCACAAAAUGUUCUGUUUUGAGAAAACAGUAUUUAAAACAUUUAAACUUUUGCUUCAAUAUCUUAUAUUUCGAAAAACAGUAUAAACUGUACGGUCUAAAUUUAGUUUGCAUGGUCUAAAUUUAGUUUGCACGAAAGUUGUAAACAACACCAUAUAAGGAUAGAGAUUCCAUAUUUGGAAAAACGAUCGUUAUGGGGCAGAUAUUCAAAUUCAUUAGUCAUCGAUGCAGGCUCUCAAUUCAGCUUGAGAGCCUGUUCGCAGGCUAGGGGUAGGGGGCUUAACUUCCUAUUUCCUCUGUGGGGGUGGAAUGACCCAGUGAUAGACUAGCUAACUACAAUAUAUUUAAACAUUACUCACUUUUCUUAUUUAGGUUGAAACUUUAAUGUGGACAAGAAUGAAACACAAGGUCUUUGGAGGUUCAAAUAGCAAGAGUAGUAAUAUACUGGCCAGGACCAGUAGUACCCCCUAGUAAGAGCACCCCUAGAACUGGCUAGAAGUUUCAAGAUACUUACCCUGGAUUCCAGAGCCUUCGACAGUAAAUAAUAAAUUGAAAUGUCGUGAAGGCUCUGGUUCAACGGGGCGAUUCUUUGAUUAAACCGCGCCAAUCACAAAACAGAGCCUUCAAGAGCCCGUUGAACCAGAGCCUUCGCGACAUUUCAAUUUAUUAUUUAGUGUCGAAGGCUCUGGAAUCCAGGGUACAAGAUACUGAACAGCAGAGCAAAUUAGUCAUAGCCAGUGGGGCAACAAAGUUAUUAGAAUAGUUUAGAUUUUAAAAUUAUUUAUUGUAAUUAAUUAUUAUUCUUUGAAAAAGUUAAAUUAAAUUACUUCAGCUGUGUACUGUGUUAUAAAUGUGGGAUAAUUUUGCAAAGAAAAAUGCAUGUGAAAUGACAAAGAGAAAUGCACAAAAAAUACUGAAUUUUAAGGGUGCCUGAAGUACAGGGUGUACCUUGUGUGUGGGGUAGGGGGUUGUGCAACCCCAUUUUCUGCUAAGAUUGUUGAUAAAAUCAGAAAAAGGAAUUCUGAUCAGUAAAAUAUGGGAG